rnacentral:lncRNA from 1 species
GUCUCUUGUCAGCUGUCUUUCAGAAGACCUGGUAAGUGGGACUGUCUGGGUUGGCCCCGCACUUUGGGCUUCUCUUGGGGAGGGUCAGGGAAGUGGAGCAGCCUUCCUGAGAGAGGAGAGAGAAAGCUCAGGGAGGUCUGGAGCAAAGAUACUCCUGGAGGUGGGGAGUGAGGCAGGGAUAAGGAAGGAGAGUAUCCUCCAGCACCUUCCAGUGGGUAAGGGCACAUUGUCUCCUAGGCUGGACUUUUCUUGAGCAGAGGGUGGGGUGGUAAGGAAAGUCUACGGGCCCCGUGUGUGUGCACAUGUCUCUGUGUGAAUGGACCCUUCCCCUUCCCACACGUGUAUCCCUAUCAUCCCACCCUUCCCACCAGAGCCAUAGCCAUCUGCUGGUUUGGUUAUUUGGAGAGUGCAGGCCAGGACAAGGCCAUCGCUUGGGGCAUGAAUCCUCUGCGUACUGCCCUGGCCAGAUGCAAAUUCCCUGCCAUGGGAUUCCCCAGAAGGUUCUGUUUUUCAGGUGGGGCAAGUCCGUGGGCAUCAUGUUGACCGAGCUGGAGAAAGCCUUGAACUCUAUCAUCGACGUCUACCACAAGUACUCCCUGAUAAAGGGGAAUUUCCAUGCCGUCUACAGGGAUGACCUGAAGAAAUUGCUAGAGACCGAGUGUCCUCAGUAUAUCAGGAAAAAGGGUGCAGACGUCUGGUUCAAAGAGUUGGAUAUCA